UAUGUGUUUUCUGUAAUUGCUUCUGCAGGAGGUUUUUGUUUCCGUAUGUUAAGUCCUCCCGCAGCUUUUUAAUUUUUUGGGCUGUAUCCCAUUCUGUUUGUGGUUUUAAUUGUUUGUACACUACCCCUUUUACUUCAAUGUGGCAUCUGGUUCCUCCUUUUUACCAGGAAACAAAAAAAAGAAUUUGUAAGACCUAAAGAGCAGAAGUUGACAAAGACUAAGCUUGGUCCAUGCUAAUUUUGUCUUCCAACGUUUAGAUCAAUAAAGUACUUCACUCAAAC
rnacentral:lncRNA from 1 species